CAAAUUAAAGCUUAAGUUAAGUAUUUCAUUUACAUUGAAAAGAUAUUAAAAGAAAAUUAAUUAAUUUGA
rnacentral:tRNA from 1 species